CACAGGAGACCUUAUUUGGACUUCAAGGGAGGAAGGAAGACAGUGGAGGCACGUCGGAGUGGACGUAGCUCAGGAGGGGAGCAGCAUUCUGCUGAUCUGGCCUUUAUAGAAUCUGCAGUUUCAAAUAUUAGAAAUGCUUGUCUGCAUCUGGAUUUUCCACCACUGCACACACAGUAUGUGUCUUAGAACCUAAAAAAUGCUGUGUUUAAGACCCAAAACUGGAUAAUUCUUGCUAAGGUCAAUGAGAAGUGCAGAUGCUCAAUGUCUCGCAGACAGAGGCCCAGAGAAAGUUGAAGGAUAUCAAGAGACCAAUAAAUCUUCCAGAUGACUACAAGAGUGAGGAGAGACAAAUCGUAAACUCUGCUAUAGCAGAUAUUAAUUUUCCUGCUUACAGUACAGCAGUGAAGAGUCACAGAGCUCAGGUUCUGGCAGACUGUCUCGUUACAAUCUGCUUGAGGGGUUCACAUCCACUGUCGAGCAUUCUGGCUAUUAACCUUUCUGCAGACCCUGUCCUUACAUGGAGUCCCUUUUGGGAUGGGCGAAGGUGAGCAGAGCUCCACUUUGUGCUCACAACA